AACGUAGGACACAAGCGUUAUCCGGAGUUACUGGGCGUAAAGGGCGUGUAGGCGGACGUGUAAGUCUAUUCUGAAAGCUACCUCGGCUAAACUGGGAGAGGCGAAUGGAGACUGGCAUAUCUAGAGUGAGGAAGAGGAAAGUGGAAUUCCGCGUGUAGUGGUGAAAUGCGUAGAGAUGCGGAGGAACACCAACGGCGAAAGCACUCUGCUGGGCCGACACGUGACACUGGAGAGACGAAAGCUAGGGGAGCGAAUGGG
rnacentral:rRNA from 1 species